rnacentral:rRNA from 1 species
GACGAACGCUGGCGGCGUGCUUAACACAUGCAAGUCGAACGGAAAGGCCCUGCUUUUGUGGGGUGCUCGAGUGGCGAACGGGUGAGUAACACGUGAGUAACCUGCCCUUGACUUUGGGAUAACUUCAGGAAACUGGGGCUAAUACCGGAUAGGAGCUCCUGCUGCAUGGUGGGGGUUGGAAAGUUUCGGCGGUUGGGGAUGGACUCGCGGCUUAUCAGCUUGGUGGUGGGGUAGUGGCUUACCAAGGCGUUGACGGGUAGCCGGCCUGAGAGGGUGACCGGCCACAUUGGGACUGAGAUACGGCCCAGACUCCUACGGGAGGCAGCGGUGGGGAAUAUUGCACAGUGGGCGGGAGCCUGAUGCAGCAACGCCGCGUGCGGGAAGACGGCCUUCGGGUUGUAAACCGCUUUCGCCUGUGACGAAGCGUGAGUGACGGUAAUGGGUAAAGAAGCACCGGCUAACUACGUG